UUCUGUAGGUGUCACAUUUUGAGGACUAUAAUAAAGGAGGAUACUGUGGGUGUUGGAGAGGACCCACUGAAAAAUGUGAGUGCACGAAAGGAUCUCACAGAUGAUCAUGUGGCCCCUGACACUCCAGCCACCUCUUCUGCACCAGUCUCACCUCCAGCUGAGACUCAGACGAACAAAUCAAAGAAGGCUUCCUGGUGGCGCAGAUGGCUUUUUUGUGAGAAAAAGUCAAAGGUUUUUCCCAAAAAUGAAGACAAGGCAGAAGACACGGUCGUGCCACCUUCUGAACCCCAACAGAGUACCAUCAGCACUGAAAAAUGUGAAGUCAAGGACGUUGGUGUCCAGACAGAGGUUUCCUGCCCUCCCAACUCGCUGCUGUUU